AUAAUCAUCAUCUUUGAAAAUUUUCUUCCUUUUAAUGAUUUUUUUCAGAAUUAAUCUAUCUUAUACUGUAAAAGAAAAUUAUUACUAACAACUUUUCACCUUUGCUAUAUAUAUUUCGACAAGUUUAGUUAUUUUCUAUUUUAGACGUGUGUUGCUGUCGAGAAUCUGAUUUUAUAUAUAGUGGUAAUUUUUAUGAUAUUUUAUUUUUCUAAUCUCG
rnacentral:lncRNA from 1 species